UUCUCUGGCACCUAAAGGUGGUAUAUUAAUUUGAUUCAUGUUUUCAUAAUUUAUAUGAAAUAUAUAUAUAUAUAUUUCAUUAAUUUGAAUCAAAUAUAUUAAUUUGAUUCAUGUUUAUCAGAAAGGACUUCUAAUUUCCUGUACCACCAUUUAAAAUUGUAGAUUUCAGGAUUUGGGGGCUACGAUUGAUUAUCCAUGUUUUAUUUCUGUUUUUGCAGCACAUAGACUCAGAUCUAUGCUGUGUCCAACAAUUUCUCAGGAUUAUGAUAAGAAUUACAAUUCUAUUAGCAUCACCCAAAAAGAAUACGAUUCUUAAGAAGAAACUUGACCUCUCAGGGGGAGAGUUGUUCUUUCUUAAGAAUACUGGUGAAAACACAGGGCCAGUGCUUACCACUUAACAUCUGAAAAGAUGAAGUGUAUUAACUCUGCUUCGACUACUGUGGCAGGAAUAUUUCAUUGCACAGUAUUUCCUGAAUUUGUAGAAGCAUUUUUCAGGCUUCUGGACUCACUUUAGUAAUGGAGGCACCUUGAUUCAUCUCAAGCAUAUGGCCCUGAAAAAUGACACUGUUGUUCCUAACUGCUGAAAUGAGACUUUCUCCUGAGUGUUAACCAUGGAAGAGGUCUGAACUCGUUUCUGAGGCUUCAUUAAUCGCAAUUUGUUCACCUCAUCUCACUGCUCGCCACAGGCAGACUGACCUGCUGUCUGCCUUCUGCUGCUCUACAACACGCACUGUGUCCCUUGGCACAUCCUGGACCCCACCUCGUCUAGGUGCAUCGCACUCUGGGGACAAAUGAGUCAGGGCACCAGGGAUGACGGAGGGUUGUAGCUGGAGAUUCAUGUUGCCUGAUGACCUUGAUCCCAAGUGUGCAACUUCCCCCAAAAGGUCAAUAGUUAACACCAUGUCCAUCACCCAGAAAGGUAUUAAAAAUCAGAGAUAACAGUCAUCCUAGCUUUGUCAUAAACCUUAAUAACAGAAAUGCCUAAUGGGGCUUGGGGUACUCCCCUUCAGAGAAAAAACAUGGAAAUGAAGUGAAUCCAGAAAAGGGAUAAAAAAAAAAACAACAACUGACAACAUAAGUAUGCUGUCAAGCCACGCUUCUAAAACACAUUCCAGAAUGCACUGGUCCUUUGAGAGUCUGUAUGAAAAAUAAUCCCAAAUCAAAUACAUUUGGAACCCUGUGGAUCAUGUUCCUUUUUUGACUAUUUAUAAUGUAUUUCAGUUCGUUAAAGGUGUCAAGCUCUUUAAUAAAAAUUACUCUUGUUCUAUG